CAUGGCUUCUAGUACCAUGCAAAAUGCCAAUAGGACCAGUGAAGUGACCUUUAGUACCACAAACGGCCCCGUGGCCCAUUUUGACGGCCUAUAGCACAAUGACUCAAAAUUUGAGGUUCAGUUCUGUAAUUUGAGGUUUAAUCCUAACCCUAACCCUAAUAAAUCUUUCCGUGGAAAUAACCACUUUCAAAUUAGUUUUACAUACAGUAUUUCUGCAAGUAAGGUAAAUUGCAAAAGCUACGUAGUGUAGUCAUGGUGCAUUGCUGGUUUUCCUACCGAUUUUUAAGCAACUUCUAAACAAAGACACCACAUCAGACUGCAAAUUGCCAAGGAUAAGGCCACACUGAAUACCACUUGUGGAGAUUUAGAGGCCCGCGCAGGAGUAGUGCUCAACCAGAUGGAGAUUCUGGAACCAGGCCUUCCUUGGCCGUCAAACGGAGUUGGGCCAACACGCAGAUGAUGUGGAAGCGUCACAAUGAGGAAUCUUCACAUCUACAAAGGGAGAUGGCAGGUUUCCUGUCAUUUUACAGUGACAGACUGCAGGAAACCCGUGCAGUUCUGCAGCAGAAGCGUAUACCUGCAACAAACAAGCGGCAGUUAUCAGUACUCGGCCACACACCAAGGUACGAACCCUUACGGAUUUCAUAAUUGCUCAAUUCCUUUACUGCGGUCGAGGCAUGUUCCUUGUUAGUGAACAUGCAAAAAACAUAGCCUCGGUUGGAACCAGUGAAAUCCAUGACGAACCGGAAUUCAUAUCUUUUUCGCACCUUUUCCAGCACGGCAACGAACUCAUCUUCCAAGAAGUGGCGUGGAAUUUUACCCAUGAAUACUUGACAUCCACGCGGCGGGGGUGCUCCGUCGCAAACAGGCGGAGGUCGACCAUACUUUCUUGGCCCAUUCUCUUGAACUAUUGCAAAUGCAGUUCUGUUCAUUACAUGUAAUAGGGCAGCUUGCUUUUUGACAUUAGUAGUAGUACGUUCUGCAGCCGGCAUGGCUUCAUCUUGUAAGUAUAAAUGAUCCAUAGUCAUUCUCGUGGCCGAUAUAACGCAGCGCACGCGUAUAGUGCACUUUCCUUGUUCGUGUUUGCUAGAUCGGUGCGUCAUUGCCGCGUUACCAGGCAAUUACGCCAUGUGAUCACGAGCUUUGCUCAUGGUAGUAUCAUGACAAUAUUACCACGCAAAUUAAAAAGCGUGCUAAUGUAUCUACUCGUGAUAGAUGGGAUAACAUGCGAGUAAUGUUGAAAGCUACAGCAAAAAAGGUUCUUUCCACCACCAAUGCUCAGAAUAACCUCCAUGUCUCAAAUGAUAAAGAUGUAGUUGGUCCCGAUCACACACUUAGUCGAAUUAGUAAUCAAUUGAAGUAUGUUGAUAAAUGUUAAAUUAAAUUACAUAUGAAGUCACAAGAUG